rnacentral:rRNA from 1 species
UGGCCUACGGGCGCAGCAGUGAGGAAUAUUGGUCAAUGGGCGCGAGCCUGAACCGGCCAAGUCGCGUGAGGGAAAACGGUCCUAUGGAUUGUAAACCUCUUUUGUCGGGGAGCAAUUGGGUCCACGCGUGGGCUUAGCGAGAGUACCUGAAGAAAAAGCAUCGGCUAACUCCGUGCCAGCAGCCGCGGUAAUACGGAGGAUGCGAGCGUUAUCCGGAUUUAUUGGGUUUAAAGGGUGCGUAGGCGGAAUAUCAAGUCAGCGGUAAAAAUUCGGGGCUCAACCCCGUCGUGCCGUUGAAACUGAUG